UUCUAAAUGUCAUAAAUUUAGUAAUAUAUAAUUAUACAGUAGGCAUAGAAGAGUUAUGUCCCUUUUUUAUUUGGUUUAAUUUUCCUGGCAUGCAACAUUUAUAAUAUAUGUACAGCAUUUAGAGUUAUCUUUCUUAAGUCUAGAAAAAAGGUACAAUGGCUGAUAGAUAUUAAAGAAGUUUGUGUUAUAUAAGGGCCAAACGUAUCUGUAAGCAUAUAUUUUUGUUCUUUUGUCUUCUUUCAUGUAAACUGUAUGUACCAAGAUCUAUUUUUUCUAAAGCUGAAUAUAAUACAUGUAGAAGUAAUUAUUUAAGGAUAUCUCGAAUCAAGACCGCAUGGUGUAUUACAUUCUGCAUGUCAUGUUUGUCAUGAUCAUUCUUAUAUUAUUAUAAGUGGUAAACAUUAGGUUUAUUUAUAUUUUUCAGAAAUCAAACAGCUCAAGAAUUAUUAAUGUUAUUGUUGUUAUUCUCAUCAAAUACGUAGGCCACAGUGAUAUUUAUGUCCAAGAACUAAUAAAUGUGCUUUAGUACGGUAAUUAAUGGUCAAGACGUGUAGUGUAUUUAUUUGUGACAAUUCUCAAUAACAAGUCAAGUUGUUUUUCGUGGGUGUUUGCAUUUAGACUCAAACCCUUGUACACAGUCAUCUGGCUGUUACAAUAAUUUAGAUACGGUCAAGAAAGAAACGAACUUUAAUAAGAACUACUGCUAUAAAUUUUGACGGAAAUUUAAUCAUUCAAGAAACUGUUAUUAUGGAUGAAGAUAACGCCCGUGUAGAGAUAGCGGUAAAGGAUUUAACAAGAAGGAGAAAUGAUUUGAGAAGAUUGAUUUCAAGUGAAAUUAGUAGUAUUGAUAACAAUUUUAAAGUAGAAAUAAAUACAAUGAUGUGUAAAAUGGAAGAAUCGUGGGACAGGUAUCAGUUCAUCCACACCCAAGUUCUCAGAAACGUACGAGAUGACGUUGAAAUUGAAGAAGAAUAUGUUAGAUAUGAUGAACAGAAACAGCUAACCACCAAUUUAAGAAAACGAUUAGCUCAGUGGAUGAAGGAAGAUAUACGUCUCAAGACACAGUACACUGAAUUUGAAGUAUCGUCAGAGAAUUCAUGUCAAGAUAGUGUAUCAGGCCUACAAACCAGAUCAAAGGCGAGUUGCUCGGAUAGUGAUAAUUCAGAACUUUCUACAACUCUUACAAAUGAAAGGUUAGAAAAAGCUAGAGCCUUAAAGGAAGAAGUUGAAAAUAAAAUAAAGAUUUUAGAAAAUAAACAAAGAAAGGCUAAAGAGAGAAAGUCUUCACGUAGAGAAACGGUAAAUACAUGUAUUCAGCCAGACCCUCCACUAAAUGGCGACGUUAACAUAGGUAAAUGUGAACAUAAUCCGGCUGCCGUACCGCCGCCAAGUAAUACACUCCAAGAUAUACUGUCAAGUCAAAUGAAGUGUAUGGAGAAAAUGAUGGAAGGACAAAUGCAGAGUACUUUGCUGUUAACACUUCCGAAGCCCGAAAUGCCUGUAUUUAGCGGUAAUCCAGUUGAAUUUCACGCCUUCAUGAAAGCCUUCGAGAAUUUAAUAGCAGAUAAAACCGACAACUGUAGUACCAAGUUAUAUUUUCUUAUACAGUAUACCAGAGGUGAAGUCCAAGACCUAAUGAAAAGUUGUCUUUCUAAACACCCGAAUGAUGGAUAUGCAGAAGCCAUUCUGUUGUUGAAAAAACGAUUCGGUCAAAACUACAAAAUCGCCACAGCCUACGUUGAUAAAGUGACAAGCUGGCCAACAAUAAAAACAGAAGACGGCAUAAAUCUACAGCGUUUUGCAGAUCUCCUUACUAGUUGCACUAACACUUUAAAUGAAAUAGGCUACAUAAGUAAACUAGAUAACACUGACUGUUUGAAAAGAAUAAUUUCCAAGUUGCCUUACGACAUAAGAAAAAAGUGGAGAAAUAAAGCCGACUACAUAACUGAAUUUCAAGACAGGGAAAUCACUAUCAUAGAUGUUACAGAGUUUGUGUCAAGAGAGGCUAGAAUAGUUACACAUCCAGUUUUCGGAAACGUGCAAAAUACUGUUACCCCACCCGAUUCAGAUAAGCAUAAAACACGAUUCAGGGGAGGUAACUUCUCAAGAACUAAUUUUUUGGCUAAACUGGAAGAAGAGAGAACGAAUAAGACAGAACAAGAUACGCCUUCGAGAUCAUUCCCAAAGUGUCCCUCUUGUAAAGGCGAUCAUACGUUAGUCGAAUGCGAUAAAUUUAAGAAAAUGAAUAUUGACGAUAAACGACGUUUUGUUCAGGAAAGUAGACUCUGUUUUAAUUGUUUAACUUAUGGACAUCGUGCUGGGUUUUGUAGAAAACGCAUAAAUUGUGAUAUAUGUAAGGGACAUCACGCUACCAUACUUCAUCAGCAGAAUCCAAUUCCUCAAGCUACAAGUUGUUUCACAAAUGAAGGUAAAUUGAAAUCGUCAAAGAUAGGCCAACCCUUUAUUUUUGGUAAAAUUAGAAAUGGCGGAAAACUGUUACCAGCGAUCGGGUUAUAUGACAGUGGUUCAAACGGCACAUUUGUUACGAGUACAGCUUUAAGUAAAGUUGGUAUAACCGGCAAAUCGACAGAGCUAGGAUUAACUACACUUUGUAAAGAAAACGAUUCCGUAAACAGUUUGGUCACAGACGUGGAAUUCCUCAGUCAGGAUGAAGAACACCUUACUGUAUUGAAUUCGGUAUAUUCUCUCCCGUCCUUGCCUAUAUCGACUGCAGAUAUCCCAACACAAGAAGAUAUUGACUCUUGGCCGCAUUUAAAGGGUAUUACUGUACCCAAGUUAGUACCAGGACAAGAAGUUGAUUUAUUGAUCGGCAAUGACAAUAGUGUUAUUUUCGAACCGUUAGAAAUCAGGCACAGUCAGAAUAACGGCCCCUUUGCUGUCAGAACAAAAUUUGGUUGGUUAAUUAAUGGACCUUUUGGGAAGAAUGCUUCACAGCAGAGAACAUGUAAUUUUAUGAGGAAAGAUGUUGAACUUAACCAGCAGUUUGAGCAGUUUUGUAACUAUGAAUUUAAUGAUUCCAUUGACGAUACCCUAGUCACCAUGUCUCGCGAAGAUAGUAAAGCAUUAUCUGUAUUUGAACAGUCUAUAAAUCUGGUUGAUGGUCACUAUGAAGUAUCGCUGCCUUGGAAACAUGAUCAACUACAGCUACCAAAUCCAAGAAUAAUGGCAGAACACAGGUUAAUGUUAUUGAAACGAAGAUUCCUGAAAGAUGCUGUUUUAUUUGAAAAGUAUUCAGAGAUAAUUAACGAACUUCUCUCCAAGAAAUACGCAGAGGUAGUCCCUCCUGGCCAUAUAGAUAGGGCUAACGAUAGAGUAUGGUAUCUGCCACACCACCCGGUGGUAAACACAAAGAAGCCAGGAAAACUUAGGGUCGUUUUUGACUGCGCAGCAAAGUUUAAGGGAGUAGCUUUGAACGACGUACUUCUUAAGGGCCCAGAUUUGACCAGUUCCCUUGUUGGAGUAUUACUGAGGUUUCGCCAAGGAUACUAUGCAUUAAUGGGCGACGUAGAAUCUAUGUUUCAUCAAGUGAAUGUGCCUCAAGAUGAAAGAGACGUGUUUCGUUUCCUAUGGUGGCAGUCAAAUGAUGUUAAUGGUGAACUCAUUGAGCUACGUAUGCGCGUCCAUUUGUUUGGGGCAACUUCAUCGCCCAGCGUUUGUAACUUUACCCUACGUAGAACCGCAGAAGACAACUGCGAAGCUUUUGACAGCGAAGUUGUUGAAACAGUACAGAAAAACUUCUAUGUUGAUGACUGUUUGAAGUCUUUGGACGAUGAAAAUGAAGCCAUAAGUCUUGUAGACAACCUGAGGAAACUAUUACUGAAAGGAGGAUUUAAUUUAACGAAAUGGGUUUCAAACUCAAGAAACAUUAUUAAAUCUAUAUCGGAGACCGAGAGAGCUAAAACUGUGAAGAACCUGGACUUCGACGGAUUACCAAUCGAACGUGCUCUAGGUGUUUUGUGGGAUACAGAAUCGGAUUGCUUCACCUUUAAUGUAGUGUUGAAAGAAAAACCAAUAAGUAGACGUGGCAUAUUGUCGAUCCUGUCAUCGGUGUCUGAUCCUUUAGGAUUCGUAGCUCCUUUCGUUUUGAAUGCUAAGUUGAUACUUCAAGAACUUUGUCGCUUAAAACUUGGAUGGGACAAUAAGAUACCAGAUGAGUAUGAGAAAUUGUGGCUUUCCUGGAUGGAAGAUCUUCCUCUGCUAUCUAAUUUACAAGUCAGUAGGUGUCUUAAACCACCACCAUCGUGUGCUAGAGUUGUGUCGGUACAGUUACAUUGUUUUUCGGAUGCCUCACAACAAGGUUAUGGUGCUGUCAGUUACUUACGUUUUAUUGAUGAUGCUGGAAAUGUAUGCUGUUCGUUUGCGACUGGUAAAUCUCGAGUUUCACCAUUAAAGAGCAUAAGCAUUCCCAGACUAGAAUUAUCAGCAGCAGUAGUCUCGGUUAGAUUAAACAAAAUCAUUACAAGAGAACUACAGAUGAAGAUAGACAAGAGUUUUUAUUGGACAGAUAGUACUUCGGUACUAAAGUAUGUCAACAAUCAAGAUAAGCGGUUUCAUACUUUUGUAGGCAAUCGAAUUUCGACUAUUUUAGAUGGAUCUCAGCCUUCGCAGUGGAAGUACGUGGAAUCGGCAAGAAAUCCCGCUGAUGAAGCUUCAAGGGGCGUUGCCGCCAAGACUAUUUUGGGAGGUUCCAAGUGGAUAUCGGGGCCGGAUUUUCUUUGGAAGGAUGAGUUAGAAUGGCCCAGUCAGCCCCAUGAAUAUGUAAUUCAAGACACAGAUCCCGAGGUUAGAAUUGAAAAACAUUCACGGUUUGUUAUAAAGGGAGAUAACUCCCUUCUCGAUCAGCUCGUCAAAAGAUUUUCGUCGUGGUACAAGUUAAAAAGGUGUGUGGCAUGGAUCUUAAGGUACCGGGAAAUUCUUAAAGCUAGAUGUCAAGGAAACCAGGCUGGUCGAGAUGUUAAGAAAUUACAGGAACCCUCUAGACUAACAGUUGUAGAGUUAACGGCUGCAGAGACAGAAAUUUUGAAGCUCGUGCAUAAAACUAGUUUUCCGGAAGAGUAUGCUGUUUUGUCAAAGAAAGAUGAAAAUGGUCGUGUCAGCAGAAAGAGUCCUAUAUUUAAGUUGGAUCCAGUACUGAUCGGAGGUCUAAUUAGAGUAGGUGGUCGCCUGAGAAGACACAAUGGACUAUUCGACACAAAGCAUCAGAUCAUUUUACCCAAGCGGAAUCCUGUGACUGAAUUAGUUAUUCGCCAUUAUCAUGAGAUGUUAGCUCAUUCUGGUAGAGAAUAUUGUUUAUCUAGUAUUAGAAGGAGAUUUUGGCCUAUAAAUGGUAACUCUGCGGUACGUCGAGUUUUAAGUGAUUGUUAUAAUUGUCGCAGAAGGAAUGCACCAGUUUGUAAUCAACGAAUGGCUGAUCUACCAAAGGAACGAGUCACUCCAGAUCUUCCACCAUUUUCCUACAUAGGAAUAGACUGUUUCGGACCGUUCUUUGUGAAGAGAGGAAGAAGUCAGCUCAAACGAUAUGGGUGCAUUUUUACCUGUCUGUCCUGUCGUGCGGUUCAUCUCGAGGUUCUGCAUUCAAUGGACACAGAUUCUUUUCUAAACGCCUUUCGUCGGUUCAUAUGUAGGCGAGGAUCACCACUGAAGAUUAGAAGUGACAAUGGUGGUAAUUUUGUUGCUGGUAGUAAAGAGAUUAAAGGGUCAAUAGAAGAAUGGAAUCGGAAGCAGGUUGAUGAUUUCAUGCUACAGAGGGAAAUAGAAUGGUGUUUUAAUCCACCAGCGGGGUCACAUUUUGGUGGCAUCUGGGAAAGGUGUAUCCGCUCAGUUCGUAAAAUUUUAGAUUCACUGCUGAAUGAACAAGUAUUGUGCGGCGAAAGCCUGAACACUUUGUUUUGUGAAGUGGAAAUGAUUAUUAAUGGACGUCCGUUAACCAAGGUAUCUGAUGAUCCCAAUGAUCAAGAAGCUUUAACCCCAAAUCAUUUGAUGUUGCUCCGUGCCGCAGGUAGUUAUCCACCUGGUUUAUUCGUAGAAAGGGACCUGUACGUCAGGAACCGAUGGAGGCAAGUCCAGUACCUUGCUAACGUUUUUUGGCGUCGAUGGACACGUGAAUAUCUUCCGCUCCUACAGGUGCGACAGAAGUGGAAUGAGAAACAAAGGAACUUAGUCAUUGGUGAUGUCAUUUUACUUGCUGAUAAGGAUCAACCGAGAGGAUCGUGGCCUUUGGGACGUGUGGUUGAAGUUUAUCCGGAUGACCAGGGAACAGUGCGUGUUGUAAAAUUACUGACUAAGGAUUGUAAAUCUUUAUGUAGACCUGUAGAUAAGUGUGUAUUGCUAGAAAAUGCAUCUGAUUAGAAUAUUGUGCUUCGUGGUAUAUGAUAUGUAAUUAAUUGCUAUGGUUAAGACAGUAUUAUUAAGAAUCAGUAAUGUUACUUUUAUUGUGUACUUUUUAUGGUUAGGAUAGUGUUAUUUAGAAUCAUUAAUGUUACUUUUAUUAAACGUUUCACUAGUUAAGUUCCACGUUUAACGGGGCCGGUAUGUUGAUUCUAAAUGUCAUAAAUUUAGUAAUAUAUAAUUAUACAGUAGGCAUAGAAGAGUUAUGUCCCUUUUUUAUUUGGUUUAAUUUUCCUGGCAUGCAACAUUUAUAAUAUAUGUACAGCAUUUAGAGUUAUCUUUCUUAAGUCUAGAAAAAAGGUACAAUGGCUGAUAGAUAUUAAAGAAGUUUGUGUUAUAUAAGGGCCAAACGUAUCUAAAUCAAACAGCUCAAGAAUUAUUAAUGUUAUUGUUGUUAUUCUCAUCAAAUACGUAGGCCACAGUGAUAUUUAUGUCCAAGAACUAAUAAAUGUGCUUUAGUACGGUAAUUAAUGGUCAAGACGUGUAGUGUAUUUAUUUGUGACAAUUCUCAAUAACAAGUCAAGUUGUUUUUCGUGGGUGUUUGCAUUUAGACUCAAACCCUUGUACACAGUCAUCUGGCUG